UACGAAGGGGGCUAGCGUUGCUCGGAAUCACUGGGCGUAAAGGGUGCGUAGGCGGGUCUUAAGUCAGGGGUGAAAUCCUGGAGCUCAACUCCAGAACUGCCUUUGAUACUGAAGAUCUUGAGUCCGGGAGAGGUGAGUGGAAUUCCCAGUGUAGAGGUGAAAUUCGUAGAUAUUGGGAAGAACACCGGUGGCGAAGGCGGCUCUCUGGACCGAGACUGACGCUGAGGCGCGAAAGCGUGGGGAGCAAACAGG
rnacentral:rRNA from 1 species